rnacentral:rRNA from 1 species
GGAAGAUAAUGACGGUACCUCGAGAACAAGCCACGGCUAACUACGUGCCAGCAGCCGCGGUAAUACGUAGGUGGCGAGCGUUGUCCGGAUUUACUGGGUGUAAAGGGCGCGUAGGCGGGAGUGCAAGUCAGAUGUGAAAUACGGAGGCUUAACCUCCGAGCUGCAUUUGAAACUGCAAUUCUUGAGUGAUGGAGAGGUAAGCGGAAUUCCCAGUGUAGCGGUAAAAUGCGUAGAUAUUGGGAGGAACACCAGUGGCGAAGGCGGCUUACUGGACAUUAACUGACGCUGAGGCGCGAAAGUGUGGGGAGCAAACAGGAUUAGAUACCCUGGUAGUCCACACUGUAAACGAUGGAUACUAGGUGUGGGGGGACUGACCCCUUCCGUGCCGGAGUUAACACAAUAAGUAUCCCACCUGGGGAGUACGGUCGCAAGAUUAAAACUCAAAGGAAUUGACGGGGACCCGCACAAGCAGUGGAGUAUGUGGUUUAAUUCGACGAUACGCGAAAAACCUUACCAAGGCUUGACAUCCUACUAACGAAGUAGAGAUACAUCAGGUGCCCCUCGGGGAAAGUAGAGACAGGUGGCGCAUGGUUGUCGUCAGCUCGUGUCGUGAGAUGUUGGGUUAAGUCCCGCAACGAGCGCAACCCUUACGGUUAGUUGCUACGCAAGAGCACUCUAGCCGGACUGCCGUUGACAAAACGGAGGAAGGUGGGGACGACGUCAAAUCAUCAUGCCCUUUAUGUCUUGGGCUACACACGUACUACAAUGGCGAUCAACAAAGGGCAGCGAAACCGCGAGGUGGAGCAAAUCCCCAAAAGUCGCCCCAGUUCAGAUUGCAGGCUGCAACCCGCCUGCAUGAAGCCGGAAUUGCUAGUAAUCGUAGAUCAGCAUGCUACGGUGAAUACGUUCCCGGGUCUUGCACACACCGCCCGUCAAG